CCUACGGGAGGCAGCAGUGGGGAAUAUUGCACAAUGGGGGAAACCCUGAAGCAGCGACGCCGCGUGAGUGAAGAAGUAUUUCGGUAUGUAAAGCUCUAUUAGCAGGGAAGAUAAUGACGGUACCUGACUAAGAAGCCCCGGCUAAAUACGUGCCAGCAGCCGCGGUAUUACGUAGGGGGCAAGCGUUAUACGGAUUUACUGGGUGUAAAGGGUGCGUAGGUGGCUGGGCAAGUCAGAGGUGAAAGCUCGGGGCUCAACCCCGGUACUGCCUUUGAAACUGUCCAGCUGGAGUGCAGGAGAGGUAGGCGGAAUGCCUGGUGUAGCGGUGAAAUGCAUAGAUAUUACGAAGAACACCGAUGGCGAAGGCAGCUUACUGGACUAUAACUGACACUGAAGCACGAAAGCGUGGGGAGCAAACAGGAUUAGAUACCCGUGUAGUC
rnacentral:rRNA from 1 species